CAUGGUAAGAAUGAGGAACAUUUUUUAGGUGACGCUCCAGAGAUGAAGUGUUCUCCAGGCUUCGUGAUUGUGGUACUCUUUAUGCUUGGACAAACCCAGGGAGACUCGGUGACUCAGGCGGAAGUCCAAGUGACCCUCUUAGAAGAGGCUUCCCUGACUGUGAACUGCACUUAUUCAACAACUGUGUUUCCCACUCUUUUCUGGUAUGUCCAGUAUCCCAGUAAAGGUCUACAGCUCCUCUUGAGCUCCUCGAGAGACCAGGAGAAGAAAAGCAACAAAGGUUUUGAAGUUACCUUGGACAGCAAAUCCAAAUCCUUCCACUUGGAGAAAGGCUCCGUGCAAGCAUCAGAUUCAGCUGUGUACUACUGUGCCCUGAGUGACACAGUGACAGGGACUGCAGGGGGAGCUGAGCACAAAUUGAGCAGAACAGGGUCCUGGGUGCUGAGUGUCUUUGCCUGA